AUUGAACGCUGGCGGCAUGCCUUACACAUGCAAGUCGAACGGUAACGGGCCUUCGGGUGCCGACGAGUGGCGAACGGGUGAGUAAUGCAUCGGAACGUACCUUUCAGUGGGGGAUAACGUAGCGAAAGUUACGCUAAUACCGCAUAUUCUGUGAGCAGGAAAGCAGGGGAUCGCAAGACCUUGCGCUGAUUGAGCGGCCGAUGUCAGAUUAGCUAGUUGGUGAGGUAAAGGCUCACCAAGGCGACGAUCUGUAGCGGGUCUGAGAGGAUGAUCCGCCACACUGGAACUGAGACACGGUCCAGACUCCUACGGGAGGCAGCAGUGGGGAAUUUUGGACAAUGGGGGCAACCCUGAUCCAGCCAUGCCGCGUGAGUGAAGAAGGCCUUCGGGUUGUAAAGCUCUUUCGGCCGGGAAGAAAUCGCAUGGGCUAAUACCCUGUGUGGAUGACGGUACCGGAAUAAGAAGCACCGGCUAACUACGUGCCAGCCGCCGCCGUAAGAC
rnacentral:rRNA from 1 species